rnacentral:rRNA from 1 species
GAUUUCUGGCACGAUUUGCCUGGCCCGCCACGGUUUCGUGUGUGAGUGCCGGGUCGAAUCUGCCAUCCUUCCAGAGAACGGUCCUACCCUUCACUGGGCCUGGGGCCGCAAUCUGGAUCGUUUACUUUGAAAAAAUUAGAGUGUUUCAAGCAGGCGUACAGCUAUGAAUACAUUAGCAUGGAAUAAUGAGUUAGGACUUCGGUUCUAUUUUGUUGGUUUCUAGGACUGAAGUAAUGAUUGAUAGGGAUAGUUGGGGGUGCUAGUAUUCAGCGGCCAGAGGUGAAAUUCUUGGAUUCGCUGAAGACUAACUUAUGCGAAAGCAUU